UGGGCUGUGGCUCAGUAGUAGAGUGCUUGCUUAGCAUGCAUGAGACACUAGGUUCGAGCCUCAGCACCACAU
rnacentral:tRNA from 1 species